UGGGGAAUAUUGCGCAAUGGGCGCAAGCCUGACGCAGCAACGCCGCGUGCGGGAAGAAGGCCCUCGGGUUGUAAACCGCUUUCAGCAGGGAAGACAUCGACGGUACCUGCAGAAGAAGCCCCGGCUAACUACGUGCCAGCAGCCGCGGUAACACGUAGGGGGCGAGCGUUAUCCGGAUUCAUUGGGCGUAAGGCGCGCGCAGGCGGCCGCUCAAGCGGGACCUCUAAUCCCGGGGCUCAACCCCGGGCCGGGUCACGAACUGGGCGGCUCGUGUCCGGUAGGGGAGGUCGGAAUUCCCGGUGUAGCGGUGGAAUGCGCAGAUAUCGGGAAGAACACCGAUGGCGAAGGCAGACCUCUGGGCCGCGACAGACGCUGAGGCGCGAAAGCUAGGGGAGCGAACAGG
rnacentral:rRNA from 2 species